GAGAAACAGCUGGGUGAAAUACAAGCCUUAAGUUUGAUGAAGUAUGGAAGUAUAAAUUAGCAACUUUCACCAAGGCAAGCAAGUAGAAGAUGAUAAACAAUUCCCCUUCAUAAACAAUUCCCUUCCAGGAAUGUCUUAUUUCUGUGAUCCUUUUCAUAGCGGAAACCCAAUAUCCAAACUGUAAACAAGUUUAGAAUAUGUAUUGUAAUGAUAGCUUACUAAGUUCAGGAGCAAAUUGCUCAAAAAAUCAGUCUUGAUGUCAGCUUUCAGCAGCUGAGGAAUAUGAUUCUCAAAAACCCUGAAUAGGCAAGAGAAUUAAACAUCACUUGAUUGGCACUUGCAUUAGCAAAAGUAGAAAACUGCCAGUAGUCUCUUUUAACAUUCAAUAGGAAGGAAUAUGUUAAUAGUAGUGGGAAGAGAGUACAAACCAUGAGUUACCAGC
rnacentral:lncRNA from 1 species